GAAAGACAUCAUGCUGAAUA
rnacentral:piRNA from 1 species